AGCAGUGGGGAAUAUUGGACAAUGGGCGAAAGCCUGAUCCAGCCAUGCCGCGUGUGUGAAGAAGGUCUUCGGAUUGUAAAGCACUUUAAGUUGGGAGGAAGGGCAGUUACUUAAUACGUGACUGUCUUGACGUUACCGACAGAAUAAGCACCGGCUAACUCUGUGCCAGCAGCCGCGGUAAUACAGAGGGUGCAAGCGUUAAUCGGAAUUACUGGGCGUAAAGCGCGCGUAGGUGGUUCGUUAAGUUGGAUGUGAAAUCCCCGGGCUCAACCUGGGAACUGCAUUCAAAACUGUCGAGCUAGAGUAUGGUAGAGGGUGGUGGAAUUUCCUGUGUAGCGGUGAAAUGCGUAGAUAUAGGAAGGAACACCAGUGGCGAAGGCGACCACCUGGACUGAUACUGACACUGAGGUGCGAAAGCGUGGGGAGCAAACAGGAUUAGAUA
rnacentral:rRNA from 1 species